rnacentral:rRNA from 1 species
UACAGAGGGUGCGAGCGUUAAUCGGAAUUACUGGGCGUAAAGGGCGCGUAGGCGGUUAUGUAAGUUAGAUGUGAAAUCCCCGGGCUUAACCUGGGACUGGCAUGUAAGACUGUAUAGCUAGAGUAGAGUAGAGGAGAGUGGAAUUUCCGGUGUAGCGGUGAAAAUGCGUAGAUAUCGGAAAGAACAUCGGUGGCGAAGGCGGCUCUCUGGACUCAUACUG